ACUGACAGUUGAGAAAAGAAGAAGAAUAAAGCUUACGUGAAUUUCCUAUGUGAAAAAUCAAAAAUUAAAUUUGGCCGAUAAGUUGAUUUUCCGAUUUGGAACUUUCAAAGGAUUUUAUAAAUAUUUUGAUGAACGAUUGCGAUCUCGGACUUUCCGAACUGAUAAAACUUAAUUUCGAGCAAUUUCAAAGUUGUCUUGAGUCAACUGGAAUCGAUUGGUAGGAAUAUUUUUGAUAAAAUAGAUGCCUGGAGACAGUGAAAUAGAUCAUCAAUUCUCCAGUUGUUGCAAAGUAACCAAACAUUAGAAGCUUUACCUGUAUUGCCAGGCGCAGAAGUCGACUUGUCCGUAGCAGAUAGAUCACAAAAAUAUUUCGUUAGCAAUCGAAGUAUUACAACAGGGGUCGAAUAUUGUCGCAAGUUCUUCGAAGCAGCUAGAAAAAUACACGCAAGGAACUGAAUGUAUUUCGAAACUAGAGGUAUCAGAGUCUGCAUGUUUUAUAAAUGAAGAAUGCCAAACAAGUUGUUUAACACCAACAUGCCCUGUGAUUGAAUUUUUGAGAUUUGAACAUGAAGCGUCACAGCACCGAAACAACGGUUAGACAGAUAUUCAGUCCUAAGGUUCUUUUCAAGCUGCUAGCAGACAGUGAAACUGGAAAAGAGGUUGUGCAACGAGCGAGUGUGGGAGAGCUAUCGGUAGCCGAGCAACUACAGCUGGCGGGAAUUAUAGCUAAAUACCAUCUUAAGUUGAAUAAAAAGUUAACCUCUGAUGACUUACAGAACUAUAGCCUUGCCGUCGUUACAUUAUUCAACAAAGAAAAACAGGAAAACUACUACAUACCACGAGGAGGGGACCGCUAAAACGCUGGAGGCAAAAUUUCGAAUAAGAUUGGUAAUUUGCGCCACAGAAAAAAAAAUAAUGAUAUGAGGGAAGAACAGCAAGCAAAAAAAUUUGAAAAAAAUUCGGCUACUUUGAGCAGUUCAAUCAAGGAAGCGACUCAAUGGCUCAUGCUAAAUCAGGAAUCUUGGUCCGCUGUGUUAGAUAGGUGGGCAACAAGUUUCUGUCAUCGGCAGCAUUUAAUGCAAGAUAAAAAAAAGACACACCGACUGUUACAGGACUUUCCAUAAUAUAGAAAUACAUUUGGGUAUCAAUUGAUUGAUCAAGAUUUCAAUAAACUUUUCCCAGACUCACCCAAUGCUUAGGCAUACUUAAAAAAAUCAGUAAGGAUAUAUCUGCUUUCUUUGAGUUGAAAUCGGUGGUCCCUUCAGCAGCUGGAUUAUUUAAACAUCUUAAACAUGCGAAGUCACGCGCACGACAAACGAAAGUAACUCAAAUUGCCUUUUUCCCAAGCAAACUCUGAACCUGAGUCCUCCACUCACCUCCUCUCGCCUGGUUUGCAGAAAGUCGCGAAGAAAUCAAAGCUAACUGCGUCAUAACUAAUAUUCGGCACACAUGUUAAAUCAGCACAUGGUUAUAGGUUCUGAUACAGGUGCAUCGACGAAAACCGCCAAAAACGUAAUAAAGGGCGGACGGCAGUUUUAAGAUGUAAGAAAGACAUAGUAUUAAAGAUAUCAAGCAUGUAAAUGGAAUCUAAAGUUACCCAAACCACUGUCAGGUGAUUAUGAACGUUACUUUAUAGUUAUAUGUCCAAUAAGUUCUGUAAUGUCAUGGCAUUGCCAUCAAAAUCAGGUUGUCAAGUUAUGGAAUAAGUCAGUAUCAGUUGUAAUUCAUUGAGGAUAGACUAUAAAAAAGUCAAGAAAAUGAUAGAGAUUAUAAACCUUUUGCUCGAGAAAAUAAGCAGUUUGGAUUUUUUCAAGUGUGUUGUGUAAGUGUAUUCAUAAAAAUUGAAGAAAACCGGGUGUAACUCAGCAAAGCUAUUUUAUGCAUAACACCAUAUCGAGUUUCAAGUUAAGCUUAUGGCGCGUGACAACCCACUUGAAAUCUAUCCAACUUUCUUUCUCAAAGCUCUAAUAAAAUUUACAAAACUGUUCUCAAGAAGUUUUAAAUAAAGAUAGAGCAACAUGAUUUUUUUCAUAUUUUUAAAAAUAGGAAAGACAUGCCUAUACAAGGCAUACUGCACAUAUUGUACCCCAAACUAAUUUUUUAAGUAUACUACGACGUUCAAGAUGUACGGAGAAAGGGAUAAUUUAUUUACUGAUACGUGAAAAUUUUAGCUGUUACAAAAAAAUUUGGAGUAUAAGAUAAACCCAUUCCCGACGGGUGACAUUCAAACUUUGAUUCAAGUUCAAUAAUUAUGCAAGAAAAUUUUCACGAUGAAAUUAUUCAGUAAGGUGAGAGAACAGAUUCAUCUUCAAUAUGCAAUAGAGUUUGUGUUAAUUGUGUAUAUAGUUGAUGAGUAAUAAAAGUUUGAAGUACAUUUUUUGAGGUGAAAACUGACUUCUCUCCGCCGGGAUCAGGUUAAACUAUUGGUCAUUAUUUUUAAACAUUAUGUACUAUUUUGAUUUAAGAUAUUGUUGAAUAUCGACAUGAAAUUUUCAAAGUUUUA